rnacentral:rRNA from 1 species
GACGAACGCUGGCGGCGUGCUUAACACAUGCAAGUCGAACGGAAAUUCCCUGCUUUUGUGGUGUUCUCGAGUGGCGAACUGGUUAGUAACCCGUGAGUAACCUGCCCUUUACUUUGGGCUUACUUCAGGAAACUGGGGCUAAUACCGGAUCUGAUCUCCUGUUGCUUGGUUGGGGUUGGAAAGUUUCGGCGGUUGGGGAUGGACUCGCGGGUUAUCAUCUUGUUGGUGGGGUAGUGGCUUACCAAGGCUUUGACGGGUAGCCGGCCUGGGAGGGUGACCGGGCCCAAUGGGAAAGGGAAAGGGGCAAGAGGGAAACGGGGGGAAGAAAGGGGAAAAAGUGCAAAAAGGGCGGAAGGCGGGAGGAAGAACGCCGGGUGGGGGAAGACGGCCUUUAGGGUGGAAACAGCUUUAGCCUGUGAAGAAGAGUGAGUGACGGUAAUGGGUAAAGAAGCAACGGCUAACUACGUG